rnacentral:rRNA from 1 species
UACGAAGGGUGCAAGCGUUACUCGGAAUUACUGGGCGUAAAGCGUGCGUAGGUGGUUCGUUAAGUCUGAUGUGAAAGCCCCUGGGCUCAACCUGGGAAUGGCAUUGGAAACUGGCGACCUAGAGUGCGGUAGAGGGUAGUGGAAUUCCCGGUGUAGCAGUGAAAUGCGUAGAGAUCGGGAGGAACAUCCGUGGCGAAGGCGACUACCUGGACCAGCACUGACACUGAGGCACGAAAGCGUGGGGGAGCAAACAGG